rnacentral:rRNA from 1 species
CUAUAUAAGAGUUUGAUCCUGGCUCAAAAUAAACGUUUAUAACUAACUUAACACAUGCAAAUUAAAAUAAUUAAAAUUAAAUUAUUAGUAAACGGGUGCGUAAAAUAUAGAAAUUAUCUUUAAAUAAAUAACGAAAUGUUUGUAAAAAUUAAUUUUGAUUUAAAAAAAGUCUAUAUAAGAUUAAGUAGUUGGUUUAAAAAAAAUUUACCAAGCUUAUGAUCUUUAGUUGAUCUUUGAGGAUGUACAACCACAUUGGAAUUGAGAAUGGUCCAAACUUAAAAUUAAGGCAGCAGUGGGGAAUUUUGGGCAAUGAGCGAAAGCUUGAUCCAGUUAAGUUAUAUGUGUGAUGAAAUAUUUUAUAUUUAAAACACUAAAAUUAAAAAAAAUAAUGAUAUUUUUAAAUUAAAGUCCUGGCUAAUUUCGUGCCAGCAGCCGCGGUAAAACGAGAAGGGCUAACGUUAUUUGGAAUUAUUGGGUGUAAAACAUAUGUAGGCGGAUAAUUAUUUUAUAAUUUAAAAAGUUUAAACUAAUAAUUUAAAUUUAAAUUAUUAAAAAGUAAAUUUCUAGAGUUUAAAAGAAGAUUAUAGAAUUUUAAAUGUAGCGGUAAAAUGUUUUAAUAUUUAAAGGAAUCUCAAAUGUGUAAACAAUAAUCUAAGUUAAAACUGACGCUGAGAUAUUAAAGUAUGGGUAGCAAAAGGGAUUAGAUACCCCUGUAGUCCAUACCGUGAACUAUGAGUGCUUAUUUUUAGUAAUAUAGUAAUUAUUAAAAAUUUAGUUAACACAUAAAGCAUUCUACCUGGGAACUAUGAUCGCAAGAUUAAAACUCAAAGGAAUUGACGGGAACUUGCACAAGCAGUGGAGCAUGUGGUUUAAAUCGAUAUUACGCGAGAAACCUUACCAAUUUUUGAAUAUUUUUUUACAGGUGUUGCAUGGCUGUCGUCAGUCCGUGCUGUGAAGUGUUUGGUUCAUUCCAACGAACGGACGAAACUCUUAUAUAUUUUUGAAUAUAAAUUAUUUAAGAUAUUUUAAAUAGAAGUAAGAACUACGUCAAGUCUUCAUGACCCUUAUAAAUUGGGCUACUUUCAUGUGCUAUAAUAAUAUUUGACAAAAAGAAGCAAUAAUGUGAGUAAAAGCAAACCUUUUAAAAAAAAUUAUGUGCGAAUUAUUUUCUGAAAUUUGAAAAUAUGAAGUUAAAAUUGCUAGUAAUCGUAAAUUAGAAUGUUACGGUGAAUAUGUACUCAGGUUUUGUACACACCGCCCGUCACGCUAUGGAAAUUUACUUUAUUAAAAAAUUUUUUAAUAAUUUAUAAUAAAUUAAAAACUAAAGUGAAGUCGUAACAAGGUAGCCGUAGAGGAAUCUGUGGCUGGAAAAUUAAAUAA